ACGGGAGGCAGCAGUGGGGAAUUUUGGACAAUGGAGGAAACUCUGAUGCAGCGACGCCGCGUGAGUGAAGAAGUAUUUCGGUAUGUAAAGCUCUAUCAGCAGGAAAGAAAAUGACGGUACCUGACUAAGAAGCCCCGGCUAACUACGUGCCAGCAGCCGCGGUAAUACGUAGGGGGCAAGCGUUAUCCGGAUUUACUGGGUGUAAAGGGAGCGUAGACGGUAUUGCAAGUCUGAAGUGAAAACCCGGGGCUCAACUCCGGGAUUGCUUUGGAAACUGUAGUACUAGAGUGCAGGAGAGGUAAGUGGAAUUCCUAGUGUAGCGGUGAAAUGCGUAGAUAUUAGGAGGAACACCAGUGGCGAAGGCGGCUUACUGGACUGUAACUGACGUUGAGGCUCGAAAGCGUGGGGAGCAAACAGGAUUAGAUACCCUGGUA
rnacentral:rRNA from 1 species